UGGGGAAUAUUGGACAAUGGGCGCAAGCCUGAUCCAGCCAUGCCGCGUGAGUGAUGAAGGCCCUAGGGUUGUAAAGCUCUUUCACCGGUGAAGAUAAUGACGGUAACCGGAGAAGAAGCCCCGGCUAACUUCGUGCCAGCAGCCGCGGUAAUACGAAGGGGGCUAGCGUUGUUCGGAUUUACUGGGCGUAAAGCGCACGUAGGCGGACUUUUAAGUCAGGGGUGAAAUCCCGGGGCUCAACCCCGGAACUGCCUUUGAUACUGGAAGUCUUGAGUAUGGUAGAGGUGAGUGAAAUUCCGAGUGUAGAGGUGAAAUUCGUAGAUAUACGGAGGAACACCAGUGACGAAGGCGGCUCACUGGACCAUUACUGACGCUGAGGUGCGAAAGCGGGGGGAGCAAACAGG
rnacentral:rRNA from 1 species